rnacentral:misc_RNA from 1 species
UCAAACUUGGUCAUUUAGAGGAAGUAAAAGUCGUAACAAGGUUUCCGUAGGUGAACCUGCGGAAGGAUCAUUAAAGAGAAAACUGCCUUUUGGGUAGAUCUCCCACCCUUUGUUUACAUUACCUUUGUUGCUUUGGCAGGCCCGUCUUCUGACCACCGGCUUUUGGCUGGUCUGUGCCUGCCAGAGGACCCCAAACUCUUGAUUUCAAGUUGUCUGAGUCUUAUAUAAUAGUAAAAACUUUCAACAACGGAUCUCUAGGUUCUGGCAUCGAUGAAGAACGCAGC